rfam:Gossypium raimondii Chr01_contig_340, whole genome shotgun sequence.
AUUUAAAAAUUUUAUCUAUUUUUAUUGUUAAAAAUUAGUGAUGAAAUAGUCAAACAGUGGUACAUGGCAUGUCAUGUAUAUCUCAUAUUGGUGUACAAUAACAAGUUUUUUAACAAUAGAAAUUGAUAAAAUUUUUAAUA